rnacentral:RNase_P_RNA from 1 species
UCGGCAAGUCAAGCGAUAGCCCCCCUAAAUUUUGCUUCGCAAAAUUUAGGGGGGAGGAAAGUCCGGACGCCUAGAAAAAAGUAGCGGCUAACAGCCGUCGCUCCGGCACCGGUCGGAGUAGAGGUGCGAACAGAAACGUCCUGAGGUGAAAACCAAAGGAAGACCAAACCCCAAAAAGUUGGUCUAACUCUGCUAUGGGGAUAAAAAGGCGGAGAUGAAACGGCUAAAUCCUUACCGGGCGCAAGGUCGUAUCCCCCACCACUUUUACUCGUAAAAGUGGUGGGGGAGGUACCGCUUGAGCCUAAGAGUAAUUGAUGGCCCAGACAAAUUAUCGCUGAAUACAGAAUCCGGCUUAUGACUUGCCGGUUUU